GAUGAAGAACGUAGCGAAAUGCGAUAAGUAAUGUGAAUUGCAGAAUUCAGUGAAUCAUCGAAUCUUUGAACGCACAUUGCGCCCGCCAGUAUUCUGGCGAGCAUGCCUGUUCGAGCGUCAUUUCAACCAUCAAGCCCCAGGCUUGUGUUGGAGCCCUGCGGCUGCCGCAGCCCCCCAAAACCAGUGGCGGGCUCGCUAUCACACCGAGUGCAGUAGUUUACUCUUCGCUCAGGGCGUGUGGCGGGUGCUAGCCGUGAAACCCCCAACUUCUCAAGGUUGACCUCGGAUCAGGUAGGAAUACCCGCUGAACUUAAGCAUAUCAAUAAGCGGAGGA
rnacentral:misc_RNA from 1 species